UCCCCUUCCGGCCGGCGCGCCCGGGGGCCGCGGGGUCCUCCCCUCUCCGUAGCAACAACUUCCUUCGGCGCCUUCGCCUCCUCCGUCUGCACCCCUGACCUGGCUGCCGGGGUUCCCGCGACCCUGGCCCACCCGAAGGGCUGCUCAGCAUUACCAUGUGCUGUGUGACGUUGGCUCCCACCGCCAGCCUGAGCCCUGCGUUGCCUGUGUCACCUGCCGAGCAGAGGAGACUCGAGUGCCUCAUGAGACAUCACUGUGACAGAACAGUGUAUCCUGGAACUCAAGCUUCUUGUGUCACAGGCAUAGCCACCUGCACCCCUUGCCCAGAAGUUUGCCUCUGAGGGCCAGAGCCCGGUCUCCAUGGGGACUACAUGGAGAGCAUGGCCAGCUCGGCCCACCUGUGGUCCAGGAACACCAUCACGGCCCCUCAUACAUUCCCACAGAAGACACAAAGAUGGCCAGCAGCACUGGUUUCUAGAGAAACACAAAUUAAAACCGUGUCAAGUUAACACUUCAUACCCCUCAGAAAUUCUGUUAAAAAAACAAGAAAUAAAUGCUGAUGAGGACAUGGAAGAUGCAGGACCCCUGUGCACCGCUGGCAGCAUCUAAGGUAAUAUAGUGCACAGAAAACACUGUAGAGUCUUCAAAAAAAUUAAACACAGAACUACCAUCUGAUCCAGCAAUUCUGCUUCUGAGUAUAUACCCUAAGGAUGAAAAGAAGGGCCUUGAAGAGAUGCCUGCACCCCCAUGUUCACAGCAGCUAAGACACAGGAGCACCCAUGUGUCCGUGGACGGAUGGACAGACAAAAUGUAGUCUAUCCACAUGAUGGAACGUUAUUCAGCCAUAAACAGGAAGGAUGCUCUGACACCUGCUAGCAUGGGGUGAACCUGGAAGACGCUGUGUUACGAAGUGAAAUAUGCCAGCCACGAAAGGACGGAGACUGUGUGACCCCACUUCUAGGAGGCCCCAGAGAAGACAGAUCCUCCAGACUGAAGGUAUGUGGGGGACCAGGGGCUGGGAAGUGAGCAUGUGUCAGGUAUACAAUCUGUCUUACAAGUGAGGACUUCUGGGGAUGAACGGUGGUGUUGGCUGUGCCAGAGUGUAAAUGUACUGAAAACCACUAACUGGUCUCUUAAGAAUGAUUAAGAUGGUAAAGUUUCUGUUGUGUCUUUUGCUACAACCAGAGAAUAUUUCAAAUCAUCCAUAAUUCAAAAAAAUCAGAGAACAAAGGAACUUUUGACAAACAGCCCCAGCCCUCCUGUGGACUGAAUGUGUAUCCCCCCAAAUUCACGUGCUAAAACCGAAUCCCUAGCAGGACAGUGUCUGGAGGGGAGUACUCCAAUCCUUGAACAAGGCUGUGCUUCCUCGCACUUAGGUCCCUCACAGCCUCCAGAGAGAUCUUGUAAUCUCAAUGAACUUUCCCUCCUUGGUUAAUUCCCAUGCUUUAAUCUUUUUGAUGCUGUUAUAUAUAAAAUUUUAAAAUUUCCUUUAAAACUGUUCACCGUGUAUAAAAAUGCAAGUUUUUGCUGACUUUGUA